CACGCUAAAGUUUACUUUAAAUAAAUCUGCUCUUAGUUAUUGAUAGUUACUGCUAGUGGAAAAAGGGUAAAAUCUUCUGAAAUCUGAUUGAAUUAACUGUUAAGCUCUUUUUGAGUUCUACUUGCCGAUCAUUUCGUCAGAUGCCAUGCCAACAACACUGCCAGUAUCUCCAGCGUUUGCUUCUCCAUUAGUUGCAGCUCCUACACAACCAUCAUCCGAUUUAUCCGAAUCAUCAUCCGGACCACAUAAUGGAUUCAGAUUCUGAAACGGAACUAUACAGUUCGAGCAUAGCUUUGCGCUACUUACUAUUAAAAAGAAGGCGCGAUAAAACCAACGAUCUAUGGGAAAAACGUGAAAAAAUCGGGCAAUACCACACAUUGUUUCAUGAACUUUUGAAACAAGAAGAUAAAUUCUUCGAGUUUAUGAGAGUUUCAAUUAAAACUUUUUACUUCAUACUGAGAAGGAUAGAGCAUCUUAUAACAAAGCAACCUACAAACAAACCAUACAUUUGUCCAGAGGAACGAUUGAUGAUCACUCUCAGGUAUCUAUCGACUGGAAUACCUUUUAAGUCUUUAUCAUUCACAUAUUGUAUUGCUCACAAUACAAUCGGCCUCAUUGUCUACGAAACAUGUGAGGCAAUUUGGAACACGUUUAAUCAAGAGUUUAUCCCGUUCCCUACAACGUCUGCAUUUAGGAAUGUGGAAAAAGAGUUUCGCCAUAAAUGGAAUUUUCCUAAUUGUAUCGGCGCCAUAGAUGGCAAGCAUAUCCGAAUGAAAGCCCCGCCCAUUUUCAGGUACACAAUAUUAUAACUAUAAAAAAUAUUUUUCUCUGCAUUUGCAAGCAGUAGCAGAUGUGAAUUGGAAAUUUAUCGCCAUUGACGUUGGUGAUUAUGGGAGUCGUAGCGAUAGCGGCGUCUUUAAUUCGUCAUCAUUUUAUGAGCUCAUUCGUUCAAAUCGGCUCAACAUCCCUCCUCUGGAUAGUGAAGAUCCGGCAAAAAAUCACUUCAACCAUCUGCUGAGUAUCACGCUGCGUUGAAUGCGCCUUCUCAAGAGGCUACAGAUAUUCGAAAUGUCUUCAAAAAUUAUUUUUUUGAUCGAAUUUAUCAAUAAUGUUCGAUGAAGUACAUAUUCGAUGAAGUAAAAACAUACAUUGCCAAGGAUUAU